rnacentral:rRNA from 1 species
GGCCGACAGGCGUAGGCGAUGGAUAACAGGUUGAUAUUCCUGUACCACCUAUAAUCGUUUUAAUCGAUGGGGGGACGCAGUAGGAUAGGCGAAGCGUGCGAUUGGAUUGCACGUCUAAGCAGUAAGGCUGAGUAUUAGGCAAAUCCGGUACUCGUUAAGGCUGAGCUGUGAUGGGGAGAAGACAUUGUGUCUUCGAGUCGUUGAUUUCACACUGCCGAGAAAAGCCUCUAGAUAGAAAAUAGGUGCCCGUACCGCAAACCGACACAGGUAGUCAAGAUGAGAAUUCUAAGGUGAGCGAGCGAACUCUCGUUAAGGAACUCGGCAAAAUGACCCCGUAACUUCGGGAGAAGGGGUGCUCUUUAGGGUUAACGCCCAGAAGAGCCGCAGUGAAUAGGCCCAAGCGACUGUUUAUCAAAAACACAGGUCUCUGCUAAACCGUAAGGUGAUGUAUAGGGGCUGACGCCUGCCCGGUGCUGGAAGGUUAAGAGGAGUGGUUAGCUUCUGCGAAGCUACGAAUCGAAGCCCCAGUAAACGGCGGCCGUAACUAUAACGGUCCUAAGGUAGCGAAAUUCCUUGUCGGGUAAGUUCCGACCCGCACGAAAGGCGUAACGAUUUGGGCACUGUCUCAACGAGAGACUCGGUGAAAUCAUAGUACCUGUGAAGAUGCAGGUUACCCGCGACAGGACGGAAAGACCCCGUGGAGCUUUACUGUAGCCUGAUAUUGAAAUUCGGCACAGCUUGUACAGGAUAGGUAGGAGCCUUUGAAACGUGAGCGCUAGCUUACGUGGAGGCGCUGGUGGGAUACUACCCUAGCUGUGUUGGCUUUCUAACCCGCACCACUUAUCGUGGUGGGAGACAGUGUCAGGCGGGCAGUUUGACUGGGGCGGUCGCCUCCUAAAAGGUAACGGAGGCGCUCAAAGGUUCCCUCAGAAUGGUUGGAAAUCAUUCAUAGAGUGUAAAGGCAUAAGGGAGCUUGACUGCGAGACCUACAAGUCGAGCAGGGUCGAAAGACGGACUUAGUGAUCCGGUGGUUCCGCAUGGAAGGGCCAUCGCUCAACGGAUAAAAGCUACCCCGGGGAUAACAGGCUUAUCUCCCCCAAGAGUUCACAUCGACGGGGAGGUUUGGCACCUCGAUGUCGGCUCAUCGCAUCCUGGGGCUGUAGUCGGUCCCAAGGGUUGGGCUGUUCGCCCAUUAAAGCGGUACGCGAGCUGGGUUCAGAACGUCGUGAGACAGUUCGGUCCCUAUCCGUCGUGGGCGUAGGAAAUUUGAGAGGAGCUGUCCUUAGUACGAGAGGACCGGGAUGGACAUACCUCUGGUGUACCAGUUGUCGUGCCAACGGCAUAGCUGGGUAGCUAUGUGUGGACGGGAUAAGUGCUGAAAGCAUCUAAGCAUGAAGCCCCCCUCAAGAUGAGAUUUCCCAACUUCGGUUAUAAGAUCCCUCAAAGAUGAUGAGGUUAAUAGGUUCGAGGUGGAAGCAUGGUGACAUGUGGAGCUGACGAAUACUAAUCGAUCGAAGACUUAAUCAAAA